GUACCCGUACAAUUAUAUAAAUAGACAGUGUAUAAGAAAGGCGUAAGAUAGAUGAAUUGUAUAAAUUUAAAAAAGGAAAGAGACUGCAUUUUGUUGAAAAAUCCAGAUAGUAAUAUGACACCCUCGGUAAAUUGAUUGAUAAGACGAAUUUUCAAAAAAAAAUACAACAAAAACAUGCACAUCGUAUUAGUCAACAAACAAUACGGGACAGUGAAUGAUCGUACACCACACACACAGGG
rnacentral:lncRNA from 1 species